GUCAAAUCAUCAUGCCCCUUAUGACCCGGGCUACACACGUAACUACAAUGGCGGCGAACAACGGGAAGCGAAACCGCGAGGUGAAGCAAAUCCCCAAAAGCCGUCUCAGUUCGGAUCGCAGGCUGCAACCCGCCUGCGUGAAGUCGGAAUUGCUAGUAAUCGCGAAUCAGCAUGUCGCGGUGAAUACGUUCCCGGGCCUU
rnacentral:rRNA from 1 species